AACAGGAUUAGAUACCCUGGUAGUCCACGCCGUAAACGAUGUCGACUUGGAGGUUGUUCCCUUGAGGAGUGGCUUCCGGAGCUAACGCGUUAAGUCGACCGCCUGGGGAGUACGGCCGCAAGGUUAAAACUCAAAUGAAUUGACGGGGGCCCGCACAAGCGGUGGAGCAUGUGGUUUAAUUCGAUGCGACGCGAAGAACCUUACCUACUCUUGACAUCCAGCGAACUUAGCAGAGAUGCUUUGGUGCCUUCGGGAACGCUGAGACAGGUGCUGCAUGGCUGUCGUCAGCUCGUGUUGUGAAAUGUUGGGUUAAGUCCCGCAACGAGCGCAACCCUUAUCCUUUGUUGCCAGCGAUUCGGUCGGGAACUCAAAGGAGACUGCCGGUGAUAAACCGGAGGAAGGUGGGGAUGACGUCAAGUCAUCAUGGCCCUUACGAGUAGGGCUACACACGUGCUACAAUGGCGCAUACAAAGAGAAGCGACCUCGCGAGAGCAAGCGGACCUCACAAAGUGCGUCGUAGUCCGGAUCGGAGUCUGCAACUCGACUCCGUGAAGUCGGAAUCGCUAGUAAUCGUGGAUCAGAAUGCCACGGUGAAUACGUUCCCGGGCCUUGUACACACCGCCCGUCACACCAUGGGAGUGGGUUGCAAAAGAAGUAAGUAGCUUAACCUUCGGGAGGGCGCUUACCACUUUGUGAUUCAUGACUGGGGUGAAGUCGUAACAAGGUAACC
rnacentral:rRNA from 1 species